rnacentral:lncRNA from 1 species
AACUUUCGAUUCCUUUUGAACAUUCUUUCAGGUGCUCUCUGCUUUAACCUGUCCGAGACUGGAAAGCUUCACGAUGAGACGUAUCCUUGAGUUUUGCCAAGUUUGGGUAGUUUGGACCUUGUUCUGUUCUUUUUGUACAUGAUCUUCUAAAUGGAUUAGAUUCUGUGUUUACCUUGUUCUGUUCCUUUUCGUCAUUAUUAUUAUUAUCUCCAAGAGUGGUUCUCUAUUAUUAUUAUUAUUGUAAUUGAGUAUUGUAAAGAUGAGAGCUUUUGUUCCCAUUUUGUGCUUUCUUAACCUAAAUCCAACCAUGAUUCUGUUUCGGCGUGCGUUGUUUAUGAUAUAUAGUGUAUACUUAUGAGUGAAGGACAUAACCCAGUGGUGGUAACUAUAACCUCAACGGUUUUUAGCGAUUAUAUCAUCAAUGUUCAACCGUAAUCAGGCAAAAAAUCAUUCCUUGUAUUUUUGGUAUGCUUUCUUGAGCCGAAUGUAAUGGCAGACUGGUCAACAUAUUUUUUUGUAACUUAACAUAUAUUGAUUCGGCUUUAAAAAUAUCUUGAUUCGACUUGACAUAUAUUGUUCCUUGUAAAACUCUGACCAGUGAUAAGAUAUUAUCCUUUUAAAACUCUGAACUUUUAAUAUAUAUACAUUCGGCUUUAACCUAUAUAUGAUUCGAUUAACAUACGGAAAAAAACUCUAUAAAUUAAUAAAUUUCUCUGGUCUAAAGUUAAACUGAUUCAAAAUAUGACACAAAUUGAUAAAAUAAUAAAAUAAUAUUUUUUAAAAUUUUUUUAUGUAAAUAUAUAGUCCCAUUAAAAUUUAGACAUUUUAUAUAAGUUCAAAUCAACAUUAUAUCGUUUAUUUUAUAUUAACAAUGAAAUUAUCUUUAUAUUUUCUUAACAUGUAAUAUAUUUUGAUAGGAUUUAGUAAAAUUAUAUAUAAAGAUCAUAUCUAAAUUAUAUGAAUCAUAUUUUAUACACACCAAAUAAUAUAAUUAAACUAAUAUAAAUGUCAAAUUUCAAAAAAUUAAUCAAUGUAUAUGUACUACAAUCAAAUAUUUUUUCUUAUUUUAGAAAAUAUAUAUAUCUUAAAAUAGAAAAAUCUAAAAAAGAUUUUUUUUAUAAAUUAAUAACUUUAUAAAUUAAUAAAAUAUCAAAAUUUUAAUAUUAUUAAUUUAUAGAAUUUUUACUUUAUGUUGCUCCUUGUAAAAGGAACAAAAGAUAAUAUGUUGACCAAUCUGUCAGAGUUUUAAUUUCAAUGAAAGAUUUUGUUCCUUUUAAAAUUCUCACCAUAAAAUUUGUAGUCGCAUUUGUUUUUACUGUCCUCUUCAUGGUAUCUCCCGUCUAUGUUCGACCGACUACUUCAAAUAUUCCAGGUAUUUGUUUAUUCUUCAUUUUAUAAUUACAAAAUAUAUUUUGUCCUUUUUAAUGAAAAUUAUAUACAUAUUGGAUUAGUAAUAUUUAUUUAAUAAAAUAGGUUAUGGAGUAAAGCAGAUGGAUCGUCAACGUUUCCGUAAUUUAAGUAUAUGUCGUGGUGGAGGAGGCAGCUGCAUUGUUUUUUGUAGAGAUCAUGGUUAUUACUAUGGCGUAUGUGCUACUGAUGCAUGUUGUUGUCAGUUUUAAAUAAGUACCAGUUAAAGUCCAAAAUAAAAUAAUUUAAAUCAAAUAUUUUGGUAUCUACUUGAAAAACACAACAUCAUUAUUUUCAUAUAUAUGUUUUGAUUAAUCUAUACAUAAAAUCCAGAACCAAUCAAACUAGCAAAUCGAAAUUACUUUUGAUUAAAUUUUGAGCAAUAUAUAGCUUCUCCAAUGUGAAUAAAAUCUAAAAGCAAUUCUAAAUACAACUUAGUGAAUACUCGACGAUCGUGGAUAAUUACUUGUUACUCUCUCCGUUUCCAAAUGUAAGUAGUUCUAGCAAAAAAAAGUUUGUUUCACAAUAUAAGUAGUUUACAUAUAUAAUAUAUCAGAAAUAUAUACAACUACUCUAUCUACCACAAUGUCUUUAGUGAAACUAGAACAGAGCCGUGGGGGACAAACGGUGCAACCGGUCCCCACGGUAUUUUCAUAUGUAAGGGUCAACUAUUUUUCUUAUAUAUAUGCAUAUUUAUAUAUAGAAAAAUUUAAAUAUUCACUAAAUUUGGUUAGAAAAGGUACCAAAAAUAUUUUACAUGUACAUAAUUUGUUUUCAUCACAAAUUUUAUAAACAAACUGAAUGAUAAAUUUUUUAAAUAUAUCAAAAUUUUAGACAAACAUAAAUCAUGUUAAGAUCUUAAUUUUUUUUUUUUUUUGUCUAGGGGUCCAAAUAAAUGUUGAGCCCGUCCUAAAUAGAAGUCAUGCAUUUUUGCAAACUAUGUCUAAAGGCUGCAGACAAAAUCAAAAUAAAAAACAAAGUAAGAAAUUCAGAAGUAGAGAAACAGGAUCGAACAACAACCAUUUGGAGAACUAAAGCUGCUUGUAACUGACCUUGAUAUAUGCGGUGUAGUGUUCACUUCCCAUACGACCGUAAUGUUGGUCAAAGCAUAUAGCUUAUAGAGUUGUGGCCCAGAGAGAAUUUUGUUUGGCUACAUACCUUGUCAAAUCUAAGUCCUGAAUUGGGAAGUUCACGAGUGUUUCCAACUUGUGUUUCAUGAAUCUGAUGUAUGAGACUACUAGAGUCUCUUCCCGGCCCAUGGCACAAGCUGAAUAAACAAUGGCCUAGGGCCCAAUACACGGAAUCAUACUGAGAAUCAUACUUCAAAGAGCACUUGAGGCUACUAACCUCUUCACGUUUCAGCUCUUCACUUUGCUUCAAGGAACAAGCACUUGAUAAUGCAUGCAUCAAGCCUCUGGCGCUGCAACGUCCCUGCUUGUCCCUUCAUUUUUUUGUUUCAUCUAAAAUCUUGUUUUUAAAAAUGGCCCUACAGUUAAAUUUAGAGAAUUUAUUUUGAAUAUACAGUAAGACCGCAGUCUUUCUGCGGCCCCUACUAAAUUUUUAUUAAUUUAAUUGGUUAGUAAUUGUUAGUGUUUGGUACUUUUGACCUGUAUUAUAAUUAAAAAUAAUUAAACAUAUACCAAACAAACUACCACCUACAAAAGAAUAUAAUAAAAAUAAUAAAAAAAGGUAAGAGAACACAUGUCAGCGAGGAAUCGAACUCAGGUCUCAUUAGAGAGAAUCUUCAGAGAAAACGCGAAGACGACGAAGACAGAGAAAGAGCGCAGAGACUAAAGAAGAAGAAGAAGAAGAAGAAGAAGAAGAAGAAGAAGAAGAUUGUGAUUCUCACUCUUCUUCAAUGGAAGGUUCGUUACUUUCUUCUUCAUACCCCUUCUCAGAUUCCGUUUCGAAAACCCUAGAUUCAAUCAAUCCCUAAAUCUGAUCUCGAUUGAAUCGAUAGCUUAGUGAUAAGACUCAAUACGAAUCGAAUUCAAUUCAAUUUGAUUCGAUUUUAAAAAAAAGUUUCCUACUUUAAUACAGCUAAAUCAUCUCCAGACCUAGAAUCAAUCGGGUCUGGUACAACUACGAAGCGAUCAUCGGGAAGCAGAUCUCGUAUACGACGAGACUUCCUCACCAGGUUCACUGACAGUGAGCGUUUCACUGAGAAUCUCCAAGAUUGGUUCGGUUCAGUAUCAGAGAACGAUAAAAUUAAACCGGUCUUUGAACCUCCUUUCGAGCUCGUUGAGCUGCAAAAGUUCGACUACGCACUAGAAGGCGUCUCUUUCCAGCAGCUGACUCGUAUGCCAAACGCUGUCUACGCUUCAACAUCCACUUCAGUGGAAGCAAACGCUUAUCUAGCGGUAGAGGAUUUCUUGCACGCCGCGGUUAAGAGCCUCUGGGAGGCGUUUUGGAGUAGUCAGGAGGAGGAGCCUGUUCCUUUCUCCGUUGGGUGUUUGUUUAGUGAGAAUCUUAAGUUUUAUCAGGCUGAGAAGGCUUUAGCUCUUGGGAGGCUUGAUGGUCUUUCUGCGACGGGUGUGUUGCUGAAGAAUCCGAGGCAUCCUCAUGGGAAGUGGGAUCACGUUCUUGAACUUGCUCUGCUAAGGCCUGAGGUUGGAAGUCGUCAGCCUUCGUUGCCUGUACUAGGAGAAGCUCUUUUCUAUGCUCUCCGUGUGCUUAUCUCAAGAAGUGUGAGCCGGUUGGAUUUUUCUCAGAGCGCAAACUGCGUGUUCGUUCUUUUGGUUGAUUUGCAGUAUGGGGGAGUUGUGAAAGUGGAAGGGGAUGUGAGUAAGCUUGAUUUUGAUGUUAAUAAUGUUUAUGACUGCGCUGCGGAUUGGAUAAAGAACCAUUCGAAGAUCUCUGUGUCUCCUAUUGAUAGGAUAUGGAACAAGCUUGGGAAUGCUAACUGGAGAGACAUUGGUGCUUUGCAAGUGGUUUUCGCCACUUACCAUAGUAUAAUGCAGUAUUUUGGGCCGCCUAGGCACUCUAUUGAAGACUUGGCUGCUGACCAUAGCUCUCGCGUUCACUCUAGAAGACAAGAGAGGCAGUUGGGGGACACUGGUCUUAAUGAGAACGGUAUGUUUAGGCUCCAGCAGAGAACCAUGUCUCCUGAAAUCGUGGAAGUUCAUGAAGAAGAGUCGAGUAAAAUUGAGCCUGAACCGUUGAUGAAACUUGAAGUAGGAUCGGUUUUGUGGUUGGAGGAUUCAAACUAUCAAAAAGGGUAUCAGAUUAACCAAGUGUUGACCAACGGUACACUUCCUUAUCAUAUCGCAUCACCGGUGGAUGAAGCAGGGAAGUCUGUGUUUCUCUACGUUGGUUCUCCUCCUUCGCAGCUAGAGCCAGCUUUGGAAGACAUGAACUUGUGGUAUCAGGUGCAAAGACAAACUAAAAUGCUAAGUAUUAUGAGACAGAGAGGACUUUCUAGCAAGUACUUGCCGCAGCUCCACGGUUCUGGUCGGAUUAUUCACCCAGGGCAAUGUCAAAAACCAAGUUCAGGCGGACGGUGUGAUCAUCCCUGGUGCGGAACUCCCAUUCUCGUGACCACUCCCGUUGGCGAGACAGUAUCUGAUAUGGUAAACGAAGGGAGGUUUGGUCCAGAAGAAGCUAUUAGAUGUUGCCAUGAUUGCUUAUCUGCACUCUCUUCCUCCUCUUCAGCUGGUAUUCGCCACGGAGACAUCCGUCCAGAGAACGUAGUCUAUGUCACUUCUGGUGUGAGACAACCUUACUUUGUACUAAUAGGUUGGGGUCACGCGGUGCUUGAGGAUAGAGAUAGACCUGCAAUGAAUCUUCACUUCUCCUCGACCUACGCACUCCAGGAAGGGAAGCUUUGCGCUGCAUCAGACGCAGAGAGCUUGAUAUACAUGCUUUAUUUCUGUUUUGGAGACUUGCCUGAUUUGGAUUCAGUUGAAGGAGCUCUUCAAUGGAGAGAGACCUCUUGGUCGAAAAGAUUGAUUCAGCAGAAGCUAGGCGAUGUCUCAACCAUUUUGAAAGCGUUUUCUGACUACGUUGAUAGUCUAUGUGGGACACCGUAUCCUUUAGAUUAUGGGAUAUGGUUGAGAAGAUUGAAGAGGAAUCUUUCAGAAGAUCACGGAAAAGAAAUUGAAACUUCAGGCUAAUGGGGAUGUAUAAACUUUCGAUUCCUUUUGAACAUUCUUUCAGGUGCUCUCUGCUUUAACCUGUCCGAGACUGGAAAGCUUCACGAUGAGACGUAUCCUUGAGUUUUGCCAAGUUUGGGUAGUUUGGACCUUGUUCUGUUCUUUUUGUACAUGAUCUUCUAAAUGGAUUAGAUUCUGUGUUUACCUUGUUCUGUUCCUUUUCGUCAUUAUUAUUAUUAUCUCCAAGAGUGGUUCUCUAUUAUUAUU